AGAUUGAACGCUGGCGGCAUGCCUUACACAUGCAAGUCGAACGGCAGCACGGGAGCAAUCCUGGUGGCGAGUGGCGAACGGGUGAGUAAUAUAUCGGAACGUGCCCAGUCGUGGGGGAUAACGCAGCGAAAGCUGUGCUAAUACCGCAUACGAUCUAUGGAUGAAAGCGGGGGAUCGCAAGACCUCGCGCGAUUGGAGCGGCCGAUAUCAGAUUAGCUAGUUGGUGGGGUAAAAGCCUACCAAGGCGACGAUCUGUAGCUGGUCUGAGAGGACGACCAGCCACACUGGAACUGAGACACGU
rnacentral:rRNA from 1 species